rnacentral:rRNA from 1 species
UGCAAGUCGAGCGGUAACAUGUCUAGCUUGCUAGACGAUGACGAGCGGCGGACGGGUGAGUACUACUUGGGGAUCUGCCUGAUGGCGGGGGACAACCACUGGAAACGGUGGCUAAUACCGCAUAAUACCUACGGGUCAAAGUGUGGGACCUUCGGGCCACAUGCCAUCAGAUGAACCCAAGCGAGAUUAGCUAGUUGGUGAGGUAAUGGCUCACCAAGGCGACGAUCUCUAGCUGGUCUGAGAGGAUGAUCAGCCACACUGGGACUGAGACACGGCCCAGACUCCUACGGGAGGCAGCAGUGGGGAAUAUUGGACAAUGGGGGCAACCCUGAUCCAGCCAUGCCGCGUGUGUGAAGAAGGCCUUCGGGUUGUAAAGCACUUUCAGUGGUGAGGAAGGGGGUGUUGUUAAUAGCAGCAUCCAUUGACGUUAGCCACAGAAGAAGCACCGGCUAACUCCGUGCCAGCAGCCGCGGUAAUACGGAGGGUGCGAGCGUUAAUCGGAAUUACUGGGCGUAAAGGGCUCGUAGGCGGUUUGUUAAGCAAGAUGUGAAAGCCCAGGGCUCAACCUUGGAAUUGCAUUUUGAACUGGCAAGCUAGAGUUUUGAAGAGGGUGGUAGAAUUUCCAGUGUAGCGGUGAAAUGCGUAGAUAUUGGAAGGAAUACCAGUGGCGAAGGCGGCCACCUGGUCAAAAACUGACGCUGAGGAGCGAAAGCGUGGGGAGCAAACAGGAUUAGAUACCCUGGUAGUCCACGCCGUAAACGAUGUCAACUAGUUGUUCGUGUCUUUAAGACGUGAGUAACGCAGCUAACGCACUAAGUUGACCGCCUGGGGAGUACGGCCGCAAGGUUAAAACUCAAAUGAAUUGACGGGGGCCCGCACAAGCGGUGGAGCAUGUGGUUUAAUUCGAUGCAACGCGAAGAACCUUACCAUCCCUUGACAUCCAGAGAAUCUUCCAGAGAUGGAGGAUUGCCUUCGGGAACUCUGA